AUUGAACGCUGGCGGCAGGCCUAACACAUGCAAGUCGAGCGGAUGAAGGGAGCUUGCUCCUGGAUUCAGCGGCGGACGGGUGAGUAAUGCCUAGGAAUCUGCCUGGUAGUGGGGGAUAACGUCCGGAAACGGGCGCUAAUACCGCAUACGUCCUGAGGGAGAAAGUGGGGGAUCUUCGGACCUCACGCUAUCAGAUGAGCCUAGGUCGGAUUAGCUAGUUGGUGGGGUAAAGGCCUACCGAGGCGACGAUCCGUAACUGGUCUGAGAGGAUGAUCAGUCACACUGGAACUGAGACACGGUCCAGACUCCUACGGGAGGCAGCAGUGGGGAAUAUUGGACAAUGGGCGAAAGCCUGAUCCAGCCAUGCCGCGUGUGUGAAGAAGGUCUUCGGAUUGUAAAGCACUUUAAGUUGGGGGGAAGGGCAGUAAGUUAAUACCUUGCUGUUUUGACGUUACCAACAGAAUAAGCACCGGCUAACUUCGUG
rnacentral:rRNA from 1 species